rnacentral:rRNA from 1 species
AUUGAACGCUGGCGGCAUGCUUUACACAUGCAAGUCGAACGGCAGCGCGGGCUUCGGCCUGGCGGCGAGUGGCGAACGGGUGAGUAAUGCAUCGGAACGUGCCCAGUAGUGGGGGAUAGCCCGGCGAAAGCCGGAUUAAUACCGCAUACGACCUGAGGGUGAAAGCGGGGGACCGAAAGGCCUCGCGCUAUUGGAGCGGCCGAUGUCGGAUUAGCUAGUUAGUGGGGUAAAGGCUUACCAAGGCGACGAUCCGUAGCUGGUCUGAGAGGACGACCAGCCACACUGGGACUGAGACACGGCCCAGACUCCUACGGGAGGCAGCAGUGGGGAAUUUUGGACAAUGGGGGCAACCCUGAUCCAGCCAUGCCGCGUGCGGGAAGAAGGCCUUCGGGUUGUAAACCGCUUUUGUUCGGGAAGAAAUCCUCUGGGCUAAUACCCCGGGGGGACGACGGUACCGGAAGAAUAAGCACCGGCUAACUACGUG